GAUGAACGCUGGCGGCGUGCCUAAUACAUGCAAGUCGAACGCAGAGGCGAGGAGUUUGCUCCUCUGACGUUUGGCGCACAGGUGUGAAAAACGUGUGGAUCAUCUCCCUUUAAGGCUGGUAUCACUUCGGAACACCGGCGCUUAUCGCAUAUGAUAUAUUGAUGCAUGUGGUUCACUUGAAAGAUACGGUUUUGCUGUUACUUAUAGAUGGUUCCGCGCCGAAUUAGCUAGUUGGUAAGGUAACGGCUUACGACGGCAACGAUGCGUAGCCGACCUGAGAGGGUGAUCGGCCACAUGGGAACUGAGACACGGUCCAGACUCCUACGGGAGGCAGCAGAAGGGAAUCUUCGGCAAGGGGCGAAAGCCUGACGGAGCAAGGCCGCGUGAGUGAUGAAGGUUUUCGGAUCGUAAAACUCGGUUAUUAGGGAAGAACAAAUGUGUAAGUAAAUAUGCACGUCGUGACGGUACCUAAUCAGAAAGCCACGGCUAACUACGUG
rnacentral:rRNA from 1 species